UAAGGAAUAUUGGUCAAUGGACGCAAGUCUGAACCAGCCAUGCCGCGUGGAGGAUGAAGGUCCUCUGGAUUGUAAACUUCUUUUAUCUGGGACGAAACACUUCUUUUCUAAGAGGCCUGACGGUACCAGAUGAAUAAGCACCGGCUAACUCCGUGCCAGCAGCCGCGGUAAUACGGAGGGUGCAAGCGUUAUCCGGAUUCACUGGGUUUAAAGGGUGCGUAGGUGGGUAUGUAAGUCAGUGGUGAAAUCCCCGGGCUUAACUUGGGAACUGCCAUUGAUACUAUAGAUCUUGAAUACCGUAGAGGUAAGCGGAAUAUGUCAUGUAGCGGUGAAAUGCUUAGAUAUGACAUAGAACACCGAUUGCGAAGGCAGCUUGCUAAGCUGUAACUGACGCUGAGGCACGAAAGCGUGGGGAGCAAACA
rnacentral:rRNA from 1 species